rnacentral:piRNA from 1 species
CAAACAAACAACUUUGGGCCUGUGCCGA